UCGCGGGCGAUCCGCAGGCGCUGACGGGCCGCCGGGGGAGCGGGGCCGGGGGGCCCGAGGCCGCCCCGCCGCUGUCGGACACCCGGGCACAGCCGGCCCCAGAACCGUUCCCCCGCUGCCGACCGGCCCUUGCACAACCGCGACGGCCCGGCCCCUCCUCCUCGGCCGGCGUUGUGUAACAGGACACCGCGGGGCGAGGGAGCAGCCGAGCGCCGGGCCCGCUGCGCCCCCAGGGUUCCCUUCCCUGGAACGGCCAGGAUGCCGCAUCGCACCAUUCAUCUCUUCCGCAAGGGACUUCGGCUUCAUGACAACCCGACGCUGCUGGCGGCUCUGGAGUCCUCGGAGACCAUCUACCCCGUCUACGUGCUGGACCGGCGGUUCCUCGCGUCCGCCAUGCACAUCGGGGCCCUGCGCUGGCAUUUCCUGCUGCAGUCCCUGGAGGAUCUCCACAAAAACUUGUCCCGCCUGGGCGCUCGCCUGCUGGUUAUUCAAGGAGAGUACGAGUGUGUUCUCAGAGAUCACGUCCAGAAGUGGAAUAUCACGCAAGUCACCCUGGACGCGGAGAUGGAGCCGUUUUACAAGGAGAUGGAGGCCAAUAUACGGCGCCUGGGAGCAGAGCUGGGGUUCGAGGUGCUUUCUCGGGUGGGCCACAGCCUCUACGACACCAAACGGAUUUUGGACCUGAAUGGUGGGAGUCCCCCGUUAACGUACAAGAGGUUCCUUCACAUUCUGUCCCAGCUGGGUGACCCCGAGGUGCCCGUGCGGAACCUCACGGCUGAGGACUUCCAGAGAUGUAUGUCCCCCGAGCCAGGCCUGGCCGAGCGCUACCGGGUGCCUGUCCCCGCGGAUUUGGAGAUCCCCCCGCAGAGCCUCUCUCCCUGGACAGGAGGGGAGACCGAAGGGCUGCGGCGCCUGGAGCAACACUUGACCGACCAGGGCUGGGUGGCAAAUUUUACUAAGCCGAGAACAAUCCCAAAUUCGCUGCUUCCAAGCACCACAGGCCUGAGCCCGUAUUUCAGUAUGGGCUGUCUGUCCGUUCGCACCUUUUUUCACAGGCUGUCAAACAUUUACGCUCAGGCCAAGCACCACUCGCUGCCGCCGGUGUCACUCCAAGGGCAGCUUCUGUGGAGGGAAUUCUUCUACACGGUGGCAUCGGCGACACAAAACUUCACCCAAAUGGCCGGGAACCCCAUCUGCCUUCAGAUCCAUUGGUACGAGGACGCAGAGAGGCUCCACAAAUGGAAAACGGCACAGACGGGGUUCCCGUGGAUCGACGCCAUCAUGACCCAGCUGCGGCAGGAAGGCUGGAUCCAUCACCUUGCCCGGCACGCCGUCGCCUGCUUCCUCACGCGGGGGGACCUGUGGAUCAGCUGGGAAGAGGGAAUGAAGGUGUUUGAAGAGCUGCUCUUAGACGCUGACUACAGCAUCAACGCGGGGAACUGGAUGUGGCUGUCGGCCAGCGCGUUCUUCCACCACUACACACGCAUCUUCUGCCCCGUCCGCUUUGGGAAGCGCACGGACCCCGAGGGCCAGUACAUCAGGAAAUACUUGCCUGUCCUAAAGAACUUUCCCACCAAGUACAUCUACGAGCCCUGGACGGCAUCUGAAGAGGAGCAGAGGCAAGCGGGGUGUAUCAUAGACGCCACUCAUUUUAGGAAAAGCGUUUUCCCUGGUGCCACGUCCUCGAUGAGUUCUGCAGAGGGUCCUGUGUCCGUGUCGCCCCAGGUCGCGAUUACCCCUUCCCCAUGGUGAACCACAAGGAAGCCAGCGACCGCAACCUGCAGCUGAUGCGGCGGGUGCGGGAGGAGCAGCGCGGGACGGCCCAGCUCACCAGAGAUGAUGCAGACGACCCGAUGGAAAUGAAGCGUGACUGCUCUGAAGAAAACACAGCGAGAGGAAAGGUGGCCAGGGGGAGGGAAUAAACCGGGAUCCCGUCAGGAGCCAGCAGCGGGAGCGGAAGAUGGAGAAGGGGGAGGCAGAGGCAGCCGAACGGGACGAAGCGCUGAACCGACCCCGUGAGGGCCGGGUCCCGAGCGGACGGUGUUAGUGCCAAGGUUUCGGAUGGAGCUGCCGGCGUGCGGGCGGCUCGCGAGCCGUUUGUCGCGGCCGUCGGGUGAAUUCAAUUCCAGCGGUGCCGGGGGCUGACAGGACGCGGCGCUGCGGGGUUGCCCAAAUCCGCCUGGUUGUCCUGCAACUGUAUAAAUCGGUUUAGUGAUA